GAACCAGCGGAGGGAUCAUUG
rnacentral:rRNA from 9 species